GAUCUUCGGAUCACUUUGGUCAAAUUGAAACGAUACAGAGAAGAUUAGCAUGGCCCCUGCACAAGGAUGACACUGCGACAUUGAGAGAAAACCC